UACGGAGGAUGCAAGCGUUAUCCGGAAUCAUUGGGCGUAAAGGGUCCGCAGGUGGCCGUGUAAGUCUGCUGUCAAAGAAUGAGGCUUAACCUCAUCAAGGCAGUGGAAACUACACAGCUAGAGUACGGUCGGGGUAGAAGGAAUUCCUGGUGUAGCGGUGAAAUGCGUAGAGAUCAGGAAGAACACCGGUGGCGAAAGCGUUCUGCUAGACCUGUACUGACACUGAGGGACGAAAGCUAGGGGAGCGAACAGG
rnacentral:rRNA from 1 species